rnacentral:rRNA from 1 species
UUUGAUCCUGGCUCAGAACGAACGCUGGCGGCAGGCUUAACACAUGCAAGUCGAGCGCCUCGCAAGAGGAGCGGCAGACGGGUGAGUAACGCGUGGGAAUCUACCCAUCUCUACGGAACAACUCCGGGAAACUGGAGCUAAUACCGUAUACGUCCUUCGGGAGAAAGAUUUAUCGGAGAUGGAUGAGCCCGCGUUGGAUUAGCUAGUUGGUGGGGUAAUGGCCUACCAAGGCGACGAUCCAUAGCUGGUCUGAGAGGAUGAUCAGCCACACUGGGACUGAGACACGGCCCAGACUCCUACGGGAGGCAGCAGUGGGGAAUAUUGGACAAUGGGCGAAAGCCUGAUCCAGCCAUGCCGCGUGAGUGAUGAAGGCCCUAGGGUUGUAAAGCUCUUUCAACGGUGAAGAUAAUGACGGUAACCGUAGAAGAAGCCCCGG